rnacentral:rRNA from 1 species
GACGAACGCUGGCGGCGUGCUUAACACAUGCAAGUCGAACGGAAAGGCCCUGCUUUUGUGGGGUGCUCGAGUGGCGAACGGGUGAGUAACACGUGAGUAACCUGCCCUUGACUGUGGGAUAACUUCAGGAAACUGGGGCUAAUACCGGAUAGGAGCUCCUGCUGCAUGGGGGGGGUUGGAAAGUUUCGGCGGUUGGGGAUGGACUGGCGGCUUAUCAGCUGGUUGGUGGGGUAGUGGCUUACCAAGGCUUUGAAGGGUAGCCGGCAUGGGAGGGUGACCGGCCACAUUGGGACUGAGAUACGGCGCAGACUCCUACGGGAGGCAGCAGUGGGGAAUAUUGCACAAUGGGCGGAAGCCUGAUGCAGCAACGCCGCGUGCGGGAUGACGGCCUUCGGGUUGUAAACCGCUUUCGCCUGUGACGAAGCGUGAGUGACGGUAAUGGGUAAAGAAGCACCGGCUAACUACGUG